UAUAUUUUAGUGUAGGAUGCACAAAAGUUUUUGAUUCUCUUAGAAAAAGUUUGACUCUUUUAAAUAUAA
rnacentral:tRNA from 1 species